GGUGCUGUUUGACAAGUAUGUGGAGGAUGAUAGAGUGCUGGAUACAGCAGACCUUGAUGUAGAGCUGCUUCUCGUUGGCUUAGCAGAACUCUCUCUCUCUGAUUGUGACAGAGAUAACUGGAAAAAGAAUUCCUGCUUCACUAGUCCAAAUUGGACAUGGAAUUCCUGGUCCUUCACAUCAACAGAUUAUAUGUACGCAAAUAACACUCCCUCGGAUAGGCUCCAUCGAUUGUUUGUUGCUAAGUCUCAAUAAUGACAUAAUGGCAGUUUGAUGCUCAGGAUGAUACUGAUUGCUAUUGCACAUGAUCCAGUAUUAACCCAGUGGCUACUGAUGAAGGCCACAAGGCCCCUCAAUGAACUGGAUGACAGUAUAUAUUUUAGAACAAAGAUACACCACAUGCAUGAGGCAGAGAAAGGGGGAAACUUUCCGUAUGAGAAGGAGAUCAAAGUAAGAUUGUCCUGUGGUGGUAUAUAUUAAACAUUAUGUUUGAUGUAGAUGCCAAGAAGGACCACUCGCAAAUGUGGGUCAGAGGAAGCAGUUCAUGUUUCAGAACCCACCAAAAGUGUCAAGUUUUGCAGGACAAGAGGCAAAAGUGAACUAGAACAGGGCAUGUGAGAACAGCCCGUAAUCAAAGACUAGAUCUUGAAAGAAGUGUUUGGUCCAUUUACUCCGCAUGGAAACAAGGACAGACAAUUACAUGAAGCCCUUGCAAGAAUCAAGAUCUAACGCCCAGUGGGUCCUUCUGUGAGUGCAACCACUCACCAACACCUACUAGAAAAUUAGUCCGAGGUGCCUCAGUUCAAGUUAUUUUGCCUCCAAACACAGUUGCUGCAAUGCAAGUAUUGUCAUGUCCAUCAACAUAUUCAGUUUAAGACUGGAGUUAUUUUUUGUGGCUGGGUUGUGAUCCCACCGAAAUAGUUCCGUUUCAUACACUGUUGGAGAAGAACCCUUUUAUGUAAAUUUUUUUUUGCUGAAGUUGAUAUUUAGAAAUAGUUCCGUUUCAAAAAUAUUUGUCAAAGUGAUAUGAUGCCGAUUGAUACAGUGUAUCUGGAACUUGUUCUCAGGGAUAGGGUGUUCAAUUCAAAGUUUUUC